UGCCAGCAGCCGCGGUAAUACGGAGGGCGCAAGCGUUGUUCGGAAUCAUUGGGCGUAAAGCGAGUGCAGGCGGUUCGGUAAGUCGGAUGUGAAAGCCCAGGGCCCAACCCUGGAAUUGCAUUCGAUACUGCCGAACUAGAGUCCCGGAGAGGAAGGCGGAAUUCCCGGUGUAGAGGUGAAAUUCGUAGAUAUCGGGAGGAACACCAGUGGCGAAGGCGGCCUUCUGGACGGUGACUGACGCUCAGACUCGAAAGCGUGGGGAGCAAACAGGAUUAGAUA
rnacentral:rRNA from 1 species